rnacentral:lncRNA from 1 species
GUUUUCUUUGAGCAAAAUUGCUCGAGAAAAUUGGAUUAAUGGGUUUGGAAUUGAGGCUUCUGCUUCAUCUAGGGGCGGGAUUCGUGAACAGAUAUUGAUGAAAAAUGGGAUCUUGGAUGAAAUUUGAGACGUGUUUUUUUUUUGUAUGCCCUUUUUAGUUUGUAAGAAAGUCUUUUGUGUCUUUUUCAAAAAAUAAAACUUUCUGUUUCCAACGAGAUUGCUGAGAUUGUGAAUGUCCUGAAUUUGUUCGGUGUGUUUUCGGCGAGUUUGGUGAAGAAGAAGGUGUG